rnacentral:rRNA from 1 species
AGAGUUUGAUCCUGGCUCAGAUUGAACGCUGGCGGCAUGCCUAACACAUGCAAGUCGAACGGAAACGAUGGGAGCUUGCUCCCAGGCGUCGAGUGGCGGACGGGUGAGGAAUGCAUAGGAAUCUGCCCAGUAGCGGGGGACAACUCGGGGAAACUCGAGCUAAUACCGCAUACGCCCUACGGGGGAAAGCAGGGGAUCUUCGGACCUUGCACUAUUGGAUGAGCCUAUGCCUGAUUAGCUUGUUGGUGGGGUAACGGCCUACCAAGGCGACGAUCAGUAGCUGGUCUGAGAGGACGAUCAGCCACACUGGGACUGAGACACGGCCCACACUCCUACGGGAGGCAGCAGUGGGGAAUAUUGCACAAUGGGCGCAAGCCUGAUGCAGCAAUGCCGCGUGUGUGAAGAAGGCCUGCGGGUUGUAAAGCACUUUCAGUAGGGAGGAAACUGUAACGGAAUAAUACCCGUUACCCUGACGUUACCUACAGAAGAAGCACCGGCUAACUCUGUGCCAGCAGCCGCGGUAAUACAGAGGGUGCAAGCGUUAAUCGGAAUUACUGGGCGUAAAGCGCGCGUACGCGGUUUGGUCAGUCGGAUGUGAAAGCCCCGGGCUUAACCUGGGAAUUGCAUUCUAUACUGCCAGGCUACAAUGUACUAUAGGGAAGUGGAAUUCCGGGUGUAGCGCUGAAAUGCGUAUAUCUCCGGAGGAACAUCGGUGGCGAAGGCGACUUCCUGGACUAUCAUUGACGCUCAGGUGCGACAGCGUGUGGAGCAAACACGAUUAGAUACCC